rnacentral:rRNA from 1 species
UACGUAGGGGGCUAGCGUUGUCCGGAAUCAUUGGGCGUAAAGAGCGUGUAGGCGGUCCGGUAAGUCCGCUGUGAAAGUCGGGGCUCAACCCUCGAAUGCCGGUGGAUACUGUCGGGCUAGAGUGCGGAAGAGGCGAGUGGAAUUCCUGGUGUAGCGGUGAAAUGCGCAGAUAUCAGGAGGAACACCGAUGGCGAAGGCAGGUCUCUGGGCCACUACUGACGCUGGAGAAGCGAAAGCAUGGGGAGCGAACAGG